AGCAGUGUAGUAUAAUGGGUAAGGAACUGGUCUUCUAACCCAAAGGUCACAGGUUCGAUUCCUGGGCAGGACACUGCUG
rnacentral:tRNA from 1 species